UUGCCCUAGUAACGGCGAGUGAAGCGGCAACAGCUCAAAUUUGAAAUCUGNCGCAAGCCCGAGUUGUAAUUUGUAGAGGAUGCUUCUGGGUAGCGACCGGUCUAAGUUCCUUGGAACAGGACGUCAUAGAGGGUGAGAAUCCCGUAUGUGACCGGCCCGCACCCUUGACGUAGCUCCUUCGACGAGUCGAGUUGUUUGGGAAUGCAGCUCUAAAUGGGAGGUAAAUUUCUUCUAAAGCUAAAUACCGGCCAGAGACCGAUAGCGCACAAGUAGAGUGAUCGAAAGAUGAAAAGUACUUUGGAAAGAGAGUUAAAAAGCACGUGAAAUUGUUGAAAGGGAAGCGCCUGCAAUCAGACUUCGCGGCAGUGUUCCGCCGGCCUUCUGGCCGGUUCAUUCUCUGUCGCGAGGCCAUCAUCGUCUCGGCCCGCUGGAUAAGACCUUGGGAAUGUAGCUCGCCUUCGGGGGAGUGUUAUAGCUCAUGGUGAUGCANCGAGGCUGGGGCGAGGUCCGCGCUUCGGCAAGGAUGAUGGCGUAAUGGUUGUCGGCGGCCCG
rnacentral:rRNA from 1 species